GGCAGCAUGCUCACACGUGGGCAGUUUACACCACCUACUUGGCAGGGCCGGUGGGGCAAAAACCCCACAGAGACCUGCAUCAUCUUGAAAGUGAAUUUGUUAGCAGAACGUGACAGGUAAUUAAGUGGAAGAAUUUGCCAGCCAGCUUAAUGAGCCAAGGGGGAGGUUGGUUUGUUCAUUUUUUUUUUCUGCUUUGCUGCGGUGCAUCUGUGCUAAGCUCCAGGGUGUUCCUGUGAAUCCCAGGCCCCAGUGGAUGAAAACACACCAGCCAGUGCCAAUCACGCAGCAUGUGACCAGACUGCCCGAGGAGGAGCAUGAUCAUCUGCUGCCACUAAACGGGUAACGUAGAUGAGACACUGGUUUACGUUGACAGGCCUUCGAGCUACGCUGCUGACGAAACAGACACAGACUCUGUCAUCCUAAAAAACUUUGACAAAUGAAGAAAUGCAUUACGGUAAUGCUGGCACUAUUAACAAACAGUGUAAUAUUGCUACUGUACGUGAUGCUGAAGGGUUAAACAAUACUGAAGGAAGAGUAUGGUGUAACUAAAGGGUUUAAGAAAUGCUGCAUUUCAGGUUCUGUGAGCAUGAGUUAUAGGAGCUGGGAGAAGUUGGGAAACAGUGAAGACACUGAAAGUGAUGAACUUGAAGAGAAUAACAGCUCAAAAUGAAGAACAGGUAAAAACCAAGAGGUAGUAGUAAUAAGACCUAAGAGAAGAAAAUAGACUAACUUCAGGCAAAUGUUUGUGAAAAAGUUUAUAUUAUACUGAUUGUAUAAUGAUUACAGGUAAGCAAUAUGAAAAACCUUUUUGUAUAUAACCUUUUCUGAGGGUGAGUCAUCUUAAAAAAAAAUCAAGAUUGUCUUCCUUUUAGGUUAAUACAGUAUUGCACACUGACAGGUUGUGUAUCCAUACUUUACAAAGGACUGUAUAGACAUCAAUGCAUGCUUUCAUUGAAAUACAAAGAGAACGGAACGUCUACUUUAAUCUUGUCCUAACUCAGGGCAGAUUUUAAGGCUCAGUUAUAAACUCAACAUCUUUACCCUCUCACCAAAAGUACACUUUGUGUUUUUAAAUUAUUCAGAGUACAGAGUGCAUGGUGCUAUUUGUAAAUGGCAAUGAUAAAUUUUAAAUAAUAAUGUAAAACAUAGUAUGACCCAA